GUCCUGGCUCAGGAUGAACGCUGGCGGCGUGCCUAACACAUGCAAGUCGAGCGAGAAGCUCGUGACGGACGCUUCGGUUGAAGUCACGAGUGGAAAGCGGCGGACGGGUGAGUAACGCGUAGGCAACCUGCCCUUUGCAGAGGGAUAGCCUCGGGAAACCGGGAUUAAAACCUCAUAAUACCGCAGUGAGACAUCUCACGGCGGUCAAAGAUUUAUCGGCAAAGGAUGGGCCUGCGUCUGAUUAG
rnacentral:rRNA from 1 species